GCCAUCGUAAGAUGUGAGGAAGGUGGGGAUGACGUCAAAUCAGCACGGCCCUUACGUCCGGGGCUACACACGUGUUACAAUGGGGGGUACAGAGGGCCGCUACCACGCGAGUGGAUGCCAAUCCCCAAAACCUCUCUCAGUUCGGACUGGAGUCUGCAACCCGACUCCACGAAGCUGGAUUCGCUAGUAAUCGCGCAUCAGCCACGGCGCGGUGAAUACGUUCCCGGGCCUUGUACACACCGCCCGUCAAGCCAUGGGAGCCGGGGGUACC
rnacentral:rRNA from 1 species